UAACUCCAAGGCGGAGGCCCCAUCUCAACGCACGUCUCCUCCUCUUCUCUCUCUGUUCUCUUUCUCUUCUAGUGCAAAUCCCUUUCUCUCCCAAGAUCCAAUCGCACCCCAAAGGUCUCAAUUCUAUUCCAUUCCAGUGGCUUAAUUCCUUCGCAUUUCCCCCAAAACAAUCUCCUUAUUCAACGAAUUGUCUCAUUGUUGCUUGCUGCUUGUCCUUCGACCUGGGUGCAUGAUUGGAGUUGGAGGCAUGCCACAAGCGCUAGGCUGCCGAUUAACCGAGAUGAGGAACCGGACGACCCGAGCCACGCCGCAGCCGAAUGGUGUUCCUUCCAAAUAAAUCAAAGUGCUGGAGCAAGAACCCCACUACAGGGUCGAUUCUCGUUCCGUCUCUGCGUGCUCAUCAGUUUGAUUGAUGCCUGACAGCGACAAACAAGGGAUUAUAGACUUGUAGAUGAAAACUACAAACAAGAACCAGAUUAUAUAUUUCAUAGUGAAAACAUAUCUACAAACAAGGGAAUAUGCCCUCCUUUACUUCAAUUUCCAUUGGGCUACUUGGUGCAGAGGUCUGAAGCAAUUGGAAGUUGGAACCUAAAAGAAACACAGCGACUUGGGUUCUACAGUUAACCUGGUUUAAUUCCUAUGUUCUUAUGCUCAACAUCUGCGUUGGACAAGCAGAUGAUCUUGCACCCGAGACCACAGGGGCAACACGGAGCGCUACGACGAUCACGCGCCAUUGCCUGAAGAGCAUGCCCGCAGAGUGCUUUUGCAGUUUAUGAAGAUGAAGCUCAUGUUACUGUCGGCUACUUCCUAACACCAAGUCCAGCCUUGUCCACAACAAAAUCAGCAAUGCAGUACUUGUUGCCAAAUGCCAAGUAAUAAUGGGUUUGCCGACAGAAGAAAAAGUGCACUGUCGACCAGUCAUCCCGCAACUGCAAAAGCUUUGCAAUCCCAGCAGACCAGCUGCCACUCUUGCUCGUGUGCCUCGCUUGUACCCAGCGACCAUCAUGGCACAAAUCAAGCAAAUAACCUUUACAAAAAGGGUCAGGCCACUCCAUGUCUCCAUCUAGCUAGCAGCCUACCACAUUAUGGACGCCUUGGCACCA